GGUUCAUAAUCCCUUUAGACUCAUCUAUUUCAAUUGAUUGCCGAACAUUAACAUGAGUAUUAUAUAAAUAUUCCAUAAUCAACAAAGCUUUUACUCCACAAAAAAUCAUCUCUGCUACCUACAUAUUCUCUCCUACAGACUAGAGAUAUACAAAGGCUUUGUCCCCUUAAAGUUCUUAUAGUAAAAACAUCAACUUCACACGUUGCUAACCACCCCAAAAAAUCACCCUUAAUGAUGAUGUCCCCAACAUUUUGUCCAUGCACCGCUUCUACAUUACCAAUGAACAUCUGUGUUACGUGCAGGGUUGUUGCUGAACUUUGAGGGUGAGCACCUCCAGAAACAAAGAAGGAAGAAGGAGAAAAUAAGCUGGUUUCGAGGUUACCAGUGCCUCCAGAGGAAGAAGAAAAGCAAAGAGAAGAAAUGUUUAGAAUUCAGCAAUUUGGUUAUUCUUGUCCCCUAAAGGCCAGCAUUGAAUCUUCCAUCUUGCACUCAACGCUCCUGCACGAUCCUGCUCAAACGAAGUCACUAAGGUAAGUAAGCCUCACAAUUCUUCUCUUGUUUGUUGAUGUUUGCACCCCCUGCACCCCCUUUGCUCGUGUUUGAUCUGUUUGUGCUUGGACUUCUGCUAAUGGCACCAUCUGCUCUUUGUCUCCUGUUGUUGUAUGCUUCCCUAUCACUCCCUGCCCCAUAAAAAACACCUUGUCCUCAAGGUGUUGGAUUUUCAAACUAUGACGUCCAAAAACAAUACCGGAAUUCUAAGGUUUAUUCCGACGAACUGCACCAGGUGUGUCAAUGGGUAGUGAGUCAAGAAGAGCUUCAGGAAAUCCCGCAAUAUGGAAGUACGAAACAUCCUCGUUGUUCCGACAGAGGUGGCGAAACUUGUGUUGGGGAAGAAGACCCGAAGUGGUGGCGUUCUCGCCCUGCAAGUCCACGAAGCGCCCGUGAUGAAAGAACAUCAUGCGUAAUGGUGUUGGAGCGGUCUGGCAUGGUAAGCUUAGAGAGAUAGCUAGUUGAGGCUGGAGGAAGUUGUGGGUGCUCCCUCCAUCAACAAAGAGGACCACACGAUGGCCGGAGAGAAGGCCGGCAAGGCGCAGAGUUUCCAGUGCUAAAUCACUCGAUAAGGAGUUCAAAUUAAUUUGGGCCGAAUGGGCCGGGUCUAGGUCGGGUGUGAGGGUUGGGUCUGGGGUCGGGUCAACUGGAUCUAUAUUAGAGCAAUUAGGAUCUUCGUCUUCAGCAACGAGAAGGAAAGCUUUAGAGGCGUAGCAAUGUCCUCUAGGGUAUUGUUCGUCACAAGUGAAACACAAUCCACGCUCCCGGCAGAAAGUGGGUUCCUCCGACGUCAAGCAUUUCACCAUGGGUGGCGGAGGUGGCGGUGGUGUCAACGACGAAGUCCGUGGCAGAGGCGGUAAUGAUUCGGGACUUGGUUGUAUGGGUGUCGAGCAUGGAGACUGAGGAGGGUAGUGGUGGCCGAGUCGCCGAGGCAGUUGUAGGAGAAGGGCAUCCAGUCGGGAGUUGAGGCGGCGUGUAGCGACAUCAAGUUUGGCCAGGACGGCCUCAAGGCGAUCCUCGCUAGCGGGAGAAAAGUCAUGGUGGGUUGGCGGUUGUUGUGGAUGGCAAUGGUUUGGGCUGUAAUGGCAUCCAUGGAAGGCAGCCAUGGAAGCUCCGUACGACGAGUGGCAGCCGUGGGAGGUCAAUGAAAGCACCAAAUUGUUACGUGCAGGGUUGUUGCUGAACUUCGAGGGUUAACACCUCUAGAAACAAAGAAGGAAGAAGGAGAAGAUAAGCUGGUUUCGAGGUUACCGGUGCCUCCAGAGGAAGAAGAAAAACACAGAGGAGAGUAAUUUGCUAAUUUCAUUCAUGAUUGAUGUUGUUAUUACAUAGUCAUAUAUAUACUGAAUUCUAAUUUUGGCAUUUUGUGAGUUCUAGAAUGUUCAAAAUUCAGCAAUUUGGUUAUUCUUGUCCCCUAAAGGCCAACAUCGAAUCUUCCAUCUUGCACACAACGCUCCUGCACGAUCCUGUCACUAAGUUUCUUGUGUGAAUAAAAAGGGAGAGGAAGGGAGAAUAAAGGAUAAAUCCUUUGUUUCUUAAUCUUCAUUCAAAAGUUAUGGGAGUUUAGUUCAGCUGGUUGAAAACCCUAAUUCUCUUUGACUACUAACUAGUGUCAGACAGAGCAUCCAAACUUUGGAAUCUAAACAUGGAUCUCCCAAUCUGCGGUUACAAAUCAGUGUUGUGGUCCCAAUUCCAACUUGUAUUGGCAGUGGAGAGUGAUUAUAAAGCUUGUGAAGUAGAAAAGGGAGCUCUUCAUAGAUAAAUUCAGCUUGGGAUAUACGUGGAUGAUAAGGAUUCCAAAUGUAUCAGCAUCGCAUCACUUGCAACCUUCAAAUUUGUCUGCAAUGAAUGAGAAAUUAUUACAUGAUACAUGAUCAUAUAGUUUCAACCAAUUUCUACCUGACAUGUAAUUAAGUAUUAUUAAUUUUUUUUUGUAAACUGAAAAUUUUGGUUGCAUGUUGUGUAAAAACAUGUGGUGGUGUAAGACUAUGUAAUAAUUUCCAGGAAUGAACACUGUUGGUGACACAAGGAUUAAAUUCAGUGACCAAUUGACGAGCCCGGUUAUAUUCCAUGCAUGUAGGCGUAGAUAAAGUAGCACAAGUCUAAAGAUAUGUAAAGAUUCUGUUCUUGGUCACAACUUUCAUUUGCUGUAAAAUUCAUUCCAUGUGUAUGAAAUAAGCCCAUUUGUAACU